GGGGAAGUGUCGGAACUGGCAGACGAGCAUGACUUAGGAUCAUGUGGAGCGAUCCGUGAGAGUUCAAGUCUCUCCUUCCCCA
rnacentral:tRNA from 1 species